rnacentral:lncRNA from 1 species
ACUGCUAAUAAAGACAUACUGGAGACUGGGUAUGUCUUUCAUGGACUCACAGUUCCACAUGGCUGGGGAGGCCUCACAAUCAUGGCAGAAGGCAAAGGAGGAGCAAAGGUGUGUCUUACACGGUGGUGGGCAAAAUAGCAAGUGCGUGUGCGGGGAACGGCCCUUCAUAAAACCAUCGGAUCUCGUGAGACGUAUUCACUAUCACGAGAACAGCAUGAGAAAAACCCACCCCCAUGAUUUAAUUACCUCCCACUGAGUUUCUCCCACAACACAUGGGGAUUACGAGAGCUACAGUUCAAGAUGAGAUUUGGGUGGGAACACAACCAGACCAUAUCACAGGGGGAGCAACGUAUCGAUGAGGGUAGAUUUGUCACAACAAAACAGGAGCCCAAGCCGAGAGCUUUAUCACAUAUACUCAUCAAAUCAUUCUGGCUACUGCAGGACACUUGUCCUGAAAGCAUCUCUGGGAACAUCCAGCUGCGAAGGACUCCAAGGCCUUAAUUUUCAGAGAGGUCUCUCUUUAGUGGGUCUACAAGUGAAUGCCUCCAGCUCGAUUGAGUGGAGAGGGCUCCUUUGUGGCCAUAGCAGCGUUGGAAUUGGGGAUACAGUGGGCAGGCCAGAUGUAAAAGCCACUUGCCAUUUGGCCACCCUGAAAAUCUUCCUUUCUGCAUGGGAAUGCAGGCCCUGAAAUAAUAAGAUUUAUGUGUAUCUUCAAAAGCAAGGAGAACUUAUAUCAUAGGUAAUCUCAACAUUUUGAUGUUUCAUAAGAAAGCUGAAGAACUUCAGUGAUUAGGAUAAAUCAUCUUAGACCUAUUCAGUGUUUAAAGAAGUUUUACAAAAAGCACAUACACAUGUACUCAUGGAGAAGAACACCGCUUUAAAGGAGUAACUAGUUGCAACUUGUUAUGUUAUUUCCAAUCUUGAUCUAUGUGCCUAUGGUUUUAGAUCGUUGCGGUCAACAUGUUGAAUAUUUCAUGAGUGACCCCAGACAAACCACUUCACCUCCACUCAUCUAUUUUCUUAUCAGCAAAUGGAGAUAAUUGCUUUUGUUUCACAGGGCUGUUAUGAAAAUCAAGUGAAGUAAGAUAAUACAAAAACAAUUCGUAAACUCUAAAGUAUACAAUUAUGAGACAUUUAGUGACACGUAAUUGCUUCUGUUAUGUUUUUCUAUGUAUCACUUGUAACAGUUGCAUAUUACUCUGAGUUGCUGUCAUAGUUUGUUUAACCAUUAUCUACUUGUUACUCAU